rnacentral:tRNA from 1 species
ACCUGGCUGGCUCAGUCAGUGGAGCAUGCAACUCUUGAUCUCAGGGUUGUGAGUUCAAGCCCCACGUUGGGUG